rnacentral:misc_RNA from 1 species
AACGCACAUUGCGCCCGGCAGCAAUCUGCCGGGCAUGCCUGUCCGAGCGUCAUUUCUCCCCUCGAGCGCGGCUAGCCCUACGGGGCCAGCCGCCGCCCGGUGUUGGGGCUCUACGGGUGGGGCUCGUCCCCCCCGCAGUCCCCGAAAUGUAGUGGCGGUCCAGCCGCGGCGCCCCCUGCGUAGUAGAUCCUACAUCUCGCAUCGGGUCCCGGCGAAGGCCAGCCGUCGAACCUUCUUACUCAUGGUUUGACCUCGGAUCAGGUAGGGUUACCCGCUGAACUUAA